rnacentral:pre_miRNA from 13 species
AAUCUUAAUCGGGGUCAAAUUGACUCUAGUAGGGAGUCCGUUAAUUUAGUGCGACUCCCUAACGGAGUCAGGUUGACUCCCUUUGAGGGUUAUCGCCUU